UCGGGCCUCGCGUCUACUUUAGCGGUUUCGUUAAGCAGCGCGUUAGCUUACGGGCAGGAGUAAGAGCUUUGAAGCCUCGGGUGCGUUGUACCUCCUGGAGCUGUGUGAGUGGUGGAUCGCUUUUUCUCAACUCUUCCCACACUGGAAUGCCUACAAGCUGUCUGUCCCUCCUCCUCCCCAAGGUCUCAGGCUCGCUAUGUAGAGGAUGAUGGCUUUGAACUACUGCCUUUGCUUCCCCAGCGCAGGAAGCUUAGACCCAGAAGUGUUCUGUGAACUCUGAAUUUGAAAAUGCUAAACUUGGGAAUCAGACAAGGAAAGCAACUGUUAAGAGACCAGACUAAAUGCAGUCGGCAGAAGUCUUCACCGACAGAUGCUACACGCCGCAUCAGGACCAACAGACUGAAGAGUCCUGGUUGCCAAACCAUGGAUUUCACCAUCAGUGGCACCAACAAAGCCACCAGCAGUAGGAGGUGACUUCAGCAGGCAGGAGUAAAAGAUUCUGCCCACCUCCACCCAUCUCAGCAGUAGAAAAGGCAGGGCUGGACUUUACCUGUUCCCACCAAAGGCCAUGGCACCCUGACAGACGCUCCUGUUUUUAUGUGUGAUCUAAAGAUGGGGGUUUGAAACCAAAAUAAGGCCCAAGUUCUAUUAUACUUUGAGCUUGACUCUAAAAACCACACAAAGAGAUAUUGCACCUUAAAACACCUCUGUACUAAAAACUUGGCUUGACCAGAUCAUCCGAGGAGUAGGGACAUUUGGCCUGAAGCCUGCCCUCUGUCCUCAGCGUCUAGUUGCAAAUGUGCCUCUCAGAGGGGUAGAGCCCACAGCUGAGAUCACAGAGGUGGUGAGCACACCAAAUUUCACAUGCAAUUUCCUGGCCUUUCCUGCACAGAGUAAUUCAGACAUUAUAUAAACAGAGCAGUGGGACAUUUACUUUUUUUUUUCCAUCUAGACCUACAACAUCAAUACAUAUAAAUAAAUUCUAGUGUUUCUUGUUUUUAUUUAGGGUGGGAGGCAGGAGGGAAAUACAGGGUUAGAGAAAGGACUGAAAACAGGUGACCUCCUAAUUUUUCUUCUUAAAACAGGGAGUACUGCCAUUCUGACAGCAGGCUCACCUAAAGGGCACAUUUUGAGUUUGUAACAGCAUCCUGUGAAAUUCUGAAAGAGAAAAAUGUUUGCUUCUUUUGACACAUAAUGCCCACCAAGCAUUGGGUGAGGUGGGUCUGGCCGCAUUUCUAAGAGGUGACUGUGUGGCUUUUACUGAGUGAGACUUAUGGGGUAGAGCUUGGCAGUGGGGCAGAGGACUCGGUCACUUCCGGGGGGUGGAAGGGCUGAUAGGGGCACAGGCAGAUCUGUGCUGGGGACUCCUAAGUGGACAGUGCUUCUGAGGAGGGAUGCGAGAAGAGAGGAGAUGUGUCGGAGGUGGGAAGGAAGGAGCCGAGGGCUGCAGUUGCAAUGAAACUGCACCAAGGCUGCCCUGACUGGUAAUGCUGGGGACAGUGUGGCAGUACCUGCCGGGGGAAACAGACUUCUGCUUCCUUCAACAACCAACUAGGCAGGGCGAAGCCACUUCAGAGCUUCUAAGCUGCUUCUCUGCUCUCAUGCCCAUGGUGACACUUGAGGACAGACCCACAUGCUUGUCCCAGCCCUGCCACCAACUAUGAGCUCUCUGAAGCAGGCUGUCUCCAACACCCCAGAUGGGUGAUUAAAUGGGGGUCCUAAGCAGCAGCUGAGCACCCUGAAAUUCACUUCAUUUUCCUUUGAGCAAUGGGAAAUUUUCCUUGUUCUUAGUGAAAGCAAGAAGCCUCGCAUACAGGUGCUCACACAAAACCUGCAAGCAGUAGCCCCAAGACACCACCCUUUAGACACCACCAGCCUCCUUUGAGGCUGCAUAGGUUUCUCUGUAGGCCACUUAUACCUUGACCCUGUCCAGUUCUCUAAGGAAGGGUAACACACCUAUAGCUUAGAAACCCUACCCAACACCCUGCCCUGUUACCAGGAGUGAAGGACGGAAGAUGAAUGUGCCAUACAUAGUCUUUCCUGUCGCAAACUUGACUAAUAGGUGUUCACCUGUGUCCUUAUAUUGAUUUUGGUGAUAAGCUGUGAGGAGUGAAUGGACAGGGAUCCAGAGGGACACAGCAGGCUCCACAAAGAGGAAAGGAAAUGAGUGGGGAACAAAGCCACCCAGGGGGCUAAAGCACGGAGCCCAAGAUGCAGUCCCCAAGUGGGGCCAAUCUGGAUUACAAAACUCCACAAUUCCUCCGGUGCUCAAUACUCACUGUGUCCAAUGACAGCAAAAGGGCCCUGAACAGAUAAUUCUUAUUCUGAAACAUUAACUCCACACCAGGGAACUAAACUCAGAUACCAACUUCACAGUGCCCAAGGUGGUGAGGGACCAACCAGAAUGUCCAAUCACAUCCUCCAAACCCCAACGGUUAGCCAACCGGGGUGUGUGUGUGUGUGUGUGUGUGUGUGUGUGUGUGUGUGUGUGACUCUUAAGAAUCACCUCUUAAGGUAGCACUGUGACAUGUCAAACAGGACGGAGAUAAAAGGUGACCACUGGGGACAGCAGAGCAGAGAGAGGACAGCGAGGACCAUAUAAAAGUUCAGCUAUACAGAUGUAGCUAGCAUUUUGUUCUCAUUUCCCCUUUGUAAAA
rnacentral:lncRNA from 1 species